UACAGAGGGUGCGAGCGUUAAUCGGAAUCACUGGGCUUAAAGGGCGCGUAGGCGGGCCGGAUAGUCUGUGGUGAAAGCCUCCAGCUUAACUGGAGAAGUGCCAUGGAUACUGCCGGUCUUGAGGAGGGUAGGGGCAUCUGGAACGCUGGGUGGAGCGGUGAAAUGCGUUGAUAUCCAGCGGAACUCCGGUGGCGAAGGCGAGGUGCUGGACCCUUUCUGACGCUGAGGCGCGAAAGCCAGGGGAGCAAACGGG
rnacentral:rRNA from 1 species